AGCAGCCGCGUAUUCAGCUCCAAUGCAGUUAUAAUAGUUGUUGCAGUUAAAAGCUCGUAUUGAAUUUCGGGGUCAGUAGGUUGGUCAUCCACUGGUAUGUACUGGUCUCACUGAUUCCCCUUCCUGAUGAGCCGUAAUGCCAUUAAUUUGGUGUUGCGAGGAAUCUGGACUGUUACUUGAAAAAUUAGAGUGUUUAAAGCAGGCUAACGCUUGAAU
rnacentral:rRNA from 1 species